GUAUGUCAUUAAAUCUCAUUUUCAACGAAUCAUCCAAGUGUAAGUCACAAAGUAGUUGUUCUUUUUAAGUUAGGUUCUGAGGAUGAACGGAUUCCUCACAUAAUCGUAUAGUUAGUUCACACGGGAUGAAAAAUAAUAAUCGGUUUUCUUUGACAGUUCCUCAAGGUGGGAUACAAUAAAACUUGAAAUCUGUUGAUAUCCAUCAUUAUUUUUUAGUCCCACCAGAAGUUCAGACAUAUCAAGAUUCCCUUUCACAUCAUCUUUCCAAAAGUUUAAUUUUCGUUUAUAUCCAAGAACCUUUUCACUUGAAGUUAAUAUAUUUUCUCUGUCUUGCAGUAACUUAUCCAGUUGAUUUAAGUAACAUACAUUUCUACUAAAUAAGCUACCAUCUGCACCCCUAUUUGAUUCUCAAAGCAGUUAGUAGAAUCUUGCUUGUCGUUUUGUUGAAAAUAUGCAUUUUUCCCUUUAGCUGAAAAGCCCUAUUAAAAACUGCCUGUGCUUAACCACCAGGUUUAGUGUAUAACAACAGAUUUAGGUGCUCUUUAUCUUUGUUUCCAAACAGUUUUAAAAAUUCUGGAAUGAAGUGGCUUUCAUUUAAUGAAGUUUACAAUUUUUAUAUCAUCAUCAAAUAUCUUUUGUAGCUCAUUAGCAACAGAUUUUGACAUCAACGCUUCUCUAGGAAUUAAAUAGCAUGCGGAAAAAAUAAUGGCAAUUUUUUUUCUUUUAGAACAGUAACAAAGCCUUUUAUGGAGAAAACCAUAGAAGGAGGGCAGUCCGUACAACUGCAAAUACAAUUCUUCCAAGAAAGAUUUUUUUUCCAGUAAGCCUCACUCCUGACUACGAGUUCCCAAAGAAAUCUCAGCCAGCAGAUGUGCCUGGAAGCUAAAUUUUCAACAGCAGGAAAUCUACAAUAGUAUGAUGGCCAGCCUAUGCUACAAAAUGCUCUGUGAAAAACCUAUCAACUUAAUGUGCAUUUGAAUUUGAACUAAUUUGCAUUCCGUUUGAAGCUGAUGAAAAUAAAUAUCAUGUUAAAGCCUAAAUAAUAACAAGAACAGGUUAUUAAAAAAAACUUUAUAAAUUUC